GAUGAACGCUCGCGGCAGGCCUAAUACAUGCAAGUCGAACGGGAUCCAGAUCAAAGCUUGCUUUGGUCUGGUGAGAGUGGCGCACGGGUGCGUAACGCGUGAGCAACCUACCCUUGUCAGGGGGAUAGCCCGGCGAAAGUCGGAUUAAUACCGCAUGACAUCAUUGAGAGGCAUCUUUCGAUGAUCAAAGAUUUAUCGGACAAGGAUGGGCUCGCGUGACAUUAGCUAGUUGGUAAGGUAACGGCUUACCAAGGCUGCGAUGUCUAGGGGCUCUGAGAGGAGAAUCCCCCACACUGGUACUGAGACACGGACCAGACUCCUACGGGAGGCAGCAGUAAGGAAUAUUGGGCAAGGGACGGAAGUCUGAACCAGCCAUGCCGCGUGCAGGAGGACGGCCCUAUGGGUUGUAAACUGCUUUUAUACGGGAACAAACGUCGGUACGUGUACCGGUCUGAGUGUACCGUAAGAAUAAGGAUCGGCUAACUCCGUG
rnacentral:rRNA from 1 species